GAUGAACGCUGGCGGCGUGCCUAAUACAUGCCAGUCGAGCGAACAGAUGAGGAGCUUGCUCCUCUGACGUUAGCGGCGGACGGGUGAGUAACACGUGGAUAACCUACCUAUAAGACUGGGAUAACUUCGGGAAACCGGAGCUAAUACCGGAUAAUAUAUUGAACCGCAUGGUUCAAUAGUGAAAGACGGUUUUGCUGUCACUUAUAGAUGGAUCCGCGCCGCAUUAGCUAGUUGGUAAGGUAACGGCUUACCAAGGCAACGAUGCGUAGCCGACCUGAGAGGGUGAUCGGCCACACUGGAACUGAGACACGGUCCAGACUCCUACGGGAGGCAGCAGUAGGGAAUCUUCCGCAAAGGGCGAAAGCCUGACGGAGCAACGCCGCGUGAGUGAUGAAGGUCUUCGGAUCGUAAAACUCUGUUAUUAGGGAAGAACAAAUGUGUAAGUAACUAUGCACGUCUUGACGGUACCUAAUCAGAAAGCCACGGCUAACUACGUG
rnacentral:rRNA from 1 species